AACAGGAUUAGAUACCCUGGUAGUCCACGCCGUAAACGAUGUCGACUUGGAGGUUGUGCCCUUGAGGCGUGGCUUCCGGAGCUAACGCGUUAAGUCGACCGCCUGGGGAGUACGGCCGCAAGGUUAAAACUCAAAUGAAUUGACGGGGGCCCGCACAAGCGGUGGAGCAUGUGGUUUAAUUCGAUGCAACGCGAAGAACCUUACCUACUCUUGACAUCCAGAGAACUUAGCAGAGAUGCUUUGGUGCCUUCGGGAACUCUGAGACAGGUGCUGCAUGGCUGUCGUCAGCUCGUGUUGUGAAAUGUUGGGUUAAGUCCCGCAACGAGCGCAACCCUUAUCCUUUGUUGCCAGCGGUCCGGCCGGGAACUCAAAGGAGACUGCCAGUGAUAAACUGGAGGAAGGUGGGGAUGACGUCAAGUCAUCAUGGCCCUUACGAGUAGGGCUACACGCGUGCUACAAUGGCGCAUAUAAAGAGAAGCGACCUCGCGAGAGCAAGCGGACCUCAUAAAGUGCGUCGUAGUCCGGAUUGGAGUCUGCAACUCGACUCCAUGAAGUCGGGAUCGCUAGUAAUCGUGGAUCAGAAUGCCACGGUGAAUACGUUCCCGGGCCUUGUACACACCGCCCGUCACACCAUGGGAGUGGGUUGCAAAAGAAGUAGGUAGCUUAACCUUCGGGAGGGCGCUUACCACUUUGUGAUUCAUGACUGGGGUGAAGUCGUAACAAGGUAACC
rnacentral:rRNA from 1 species